rnacentral:rRNA from 1 species
GCAAGCCGAGCGGAUGAGAGGAGCUUGCUCCCUGAUUUAGCGGCGGACGGGUGAGUAAUGCCUAGGAAUCUGCCUGGUAGUGGGGGAUAACGUUCCGAAAGGAACGCUAAUACCGCAUACGUCCUACGGGAGAAAGCAGGGGACCUUCGGGCCUUGCGCUAUCAGAUGAGCCUAGGUCGGAUUAGCUAGUUGGUGAGGUAAUGGCUCACCAAGGCGACGAUCCGUAACUGGUCUGAGAGGAUGAUCAGUCACACUGGAACUGAGACACGGUCCAGACUCCUACGGGAGGCAGCAGUGGGGAAUAUUGGACAAUGGGCGAAAGCCUGAUCCAGCCAUGCCGCGUGUGUGAAGAAGGUCUUCGGAUUGUAAAGCACUUUAAGUUGGGAGGAAGGGCAGUAAGCUAAUACCUUGCUGUUUUGACGUUACCGACAGAAUAAGCACCGGCUAACUUCGUGCCAGCAGCCGCGGUAAUACGAAGGGUGCAAGCGUUAAUCGGAAUUACUGGGCGUAAAGCGCGCGUAGGUGGUUCGUUAAGUUGGAUGUGAAAGCCCCGGGCUCAACCUGGGAACUGCAUCCAAAACUGGCGAGCUAGAGUACGGUAGAGGGUGGUGGAAUUUCCUGUGUAGCGGUGAAAUGCGUAGAUAUAGGAAGGAACACCAGUGGCGAAGGCGACCACCUGG